AGCGGCGGACGGGUGAGUAACGCGUGGGUAACCUGCCCUGUACACACGGAUAACAUACCGAAAGGUAUGCUAAUACGAGAUAAUAUGCUUUUAUCGCAUGGUAGAAGUAUCAAAGCUCCGGCGGUACAGGAUGGACCCGCGUCUGAUUAGCUAGUUGGUAAGGUAACGGCUUACCAAGGCGACGAUCAGUAGCCGACCUGAGAGGGUGAUCGGCCACAUUGGAACUGAGACACGGUCCAAACUCCUACGGGAGGCAGCAGUGGGGAAUGUUGCACAAUGGGCGAAAGCCUGAUGCAGCAACGCCGCGUGAGCGAUGAAGGCCUUCGGGUCGUAAAGCUCUGUCCUCAAGGAAGAUAAUGACGGUACUUGAGGAGGAAGCCCCGGCUAACUACGUGCCAGCAGCCGCGGUAAUACGUAGGGGGCUAGCGUUAUCCGGAAUUACUGGGCGUAAAGGGUGCGUAGGUGGUUUCUUAAGUCAGAGGUGAAAGGCUACGGCUCAACCGUAGUAAGCCUUUGAAACUGGGAAACUUGAGUGCAGGAGAGGAGAGUGGAAUUCCUAGUGUAGCGGUGAAAUGCGUAGAUAUUAGGAGGAACACCAGUUGCGAAGGCGGCUCUCUGGACUGUAACUGACACUGAGGCACGAAAGCGUGGGGAGCAAACAGGAUUAGAUACCCUGGUAGUCCACGCCGUAAACGAUGAGUACUAGCUGU
rnacentral:rRNA from 1 species